AACUUUUGGCAAUGGUCUCUUGGUUCUGGCAUCGAUGAAGAACGCAGCGAAAUGCGAUAAGUAAUGUGAAUUGCAGAAUUCAGUGAAUCAUCGAAUCUUUGAACGCACAUUGCGCCCCUUGGUAUUCCGGGGGGCAUGCCUGUUCGAGCGUCAUUUCAACCCUCAAGCCUAGCUUGGUCUUGGGCUCUGCCGGUAACGGCUGGCCUUAAAAUCAGUGGCGGUGCCAUCGAGCUCUACGCGUAGUAAUUAAACCCUCGCGUGUGAGUCUCGUUGAGUGCUUGCCAGUAACCCCCAAUUUUCUAUGGUUGACCUCGGAUCAGGUAGGGAUACCCGCUGAACUUAAGCAUAUCAAUAAGCGGAGGCU
rnacentral:misc_RNA from 1 species